rnacentral:rRNA from 1 species
GUCUAUGGCCAUACCACCUGAAUGCACCCAAUCUUGCCUGAUCUCAGAAGUGAAGCGGGCGGGCCUGGUAGUACUUGGAUGGGAGAGAAAACUGUUUUGUAGAGA